UACGUAGGAUGCAAGCGUUAUUCGGAUUUACUGGGCGUAAAGCGCAUCGAGGUGGUUUCUUAAGUUGGAUGUGAAAUCUCCCGGCUUAACUGGGAGGGGCCAUUCAAAACUGGGAAACUUGAGGUCAGCAGGGGAAAGUGGAAUUCCCGGUGUAAUGGUGGAAUAUGUAGAGAUCGGGAGGAACACCAGUGGCGAAAGCGACUUUCUGGGCUGCACCUGACACUCUAGUGCGAAAGCGUGGGGAGCAAACAGG
rnacentral:rRNA from 1 species